rnacentral:tRNA from 1 species
GGACUUGUGCGGCAUAAUGAGAACUGCUAAUUAAUCAUUACCCCGGUUCGACUCCAGGGCAAGCCCG